GGCGGGAGGGAGCAGUCGGACCCACUAGCAGAGUCCUGAAGGUCUGGGGGAGCCCUACCCCACACCUAUCCCAAACUCGCCACACACUUGUCUCUCAAACGCCCGGCAAAGAUAUGCAGCGCCCUGGCAGCCACUGGGCUGUGGGACCCUGCCAAGGUUCAGGUAAUUAGUUAAUCGGCUUAAUUGUCCGGCUGGAAAACUGCCCACCCUGCCAGGGCUUGAACUGGUAAUGGUACGGCUGUGGUGCCAAAAAGUCACAGCAGCUCAGGACCCUGUCCUGCACGGCGACACCGGCACUCCAGCUCCCUGCCUACACCCCUGCUCCUCCCUGCCUGCACCUCAGCAGUGCUUGAGCCGCCGAGGCCUUGGCAAAGUCCUGUCGUCAUCAUUGCUCUUCUCUCGCCAGGCCAGCAGGAGGAACCACUUUGGCACCUUCCCUGGUUAAAGGAUGGGACAAGACCCCUACAAACACCAGUACUGGGAGCUCCAUGGAGGCAAAGGCCAGGAGAAACCACACAUACCUGGGGUAUGGCUGAUCCAGCAAGGAGCCAGUGACAAUGAGUUACUGGGAGUAAAAGCUGGGAGGCAGGACCAACUCCACCAGAGUGCAAGCAGAGUGUUUGGGAAAUCUGCUGCCACGCAGCAUGCAUGCUUCCAUUUUUGUCCAGCAAGGCUGGGAGAGGAGCUGCCAUCGUCACAGCCAUAUUGGGACAAAUGCUCUUGUUGGCACCUAAAACCUGGAGGAGACCCUGAGUGGGAAUAGCAAGGACAGGGUGGCACCAAGGGCUUCAAUCCCAUUCACCAGGGAAGUUGUCCUAUGCAGGGGGAGGCAUUGCUGGCUGCUUUUGCUGCUACACCUCUUCUCCAGGGAUUUUGUUUCACAGUGUGUUCCAGUGUGUGUGUGUGGCAAGGAGCUGCAGGGGUCCCCAGGGCAUCACUGCAUUGCACCCCACGGCACUGAUGCUCCAUCUCAGCCUGCCAAGGAGCCAGUUCUUGCUCUGUCUCUGCAGAGGGGCUUGCAGCAGACACCUCCAGAGGUCCCUCCAAGCUCAGCCAUGUGCUGCCGAGCUUCCUGCAUCCAGACCAGAGACCUGCACCCGUCUUUGCCAAUCCCAAAGCACACGGGGUGGCAAGCCCUCCAAACAGGUUUUGGCCAGCAAAGGCCGUGCUGGGGCUGCUGGGGAGAUGGGUACACAAGGGCAAUGUGAAACAAGCAGCCUCUGAUGCUGGCAGCCAUCACCAACCCCCUUCGCUGACAGAGGGGUCCCAAGGUUCCAAGACUCUGGGGGCUUCCCAUAUCUGACUGCCUCCCCCCCACCCUUCUCCUUGUUAAUUAACAUCACUGGACCAAUGUGAAGCUGGAAGAGUGAAGGUUUCCAUCUUUAAACACCAGAGAGGAGCUAAAAAAAGAAUCCUCCCAAUUCCACAAUCCAGGGGAGUUAAAUGCUAGAGAGCAGCUGCCUGGUCUCCUGCUGGAACAGGACUCUGCCUCUCCCAAAAGAAACAACAUAGAGACACUGGGCUUUGGUGAAGAUGAGUUUAUUAAAGCAAAAAAAAAAAAAAAAAAAAAAAAAGGGGGAUCCCAGCCACUUUCCUUGGGAUGACAAAGCUGGAUAAUUUGAAUUUGUGGCAAUGUGGUCUUGUCAACACCAACAUAUUUCUUUUGCUGGUGAUGUUUCAGAUCAAAAAUCAAACGUGACACAAAUGCCCGAAGCAGUGGGAGCUGCCCACAGUCACAGCUGGGUACCCUGAAAAGAGUUGCUGUGUGGGAAUUGGGACUGUCCAACAUCUCAUCUGCUGUAUCUGCCUGUCAUAUCUUUGGUGUCUGAGAACCACUGCCCUUGAAAAAGGAGCACUGCCUUCUCAUGCACUGGUGUGACACAUCCUUGCCAAAAGCAAUUCCUGCAGCAGGGCCUUUGGAGAAACCAGCCCUGAUCAGGAGGUCUCUGACAGGUCAUUCUUGUGUCUCUCAAAUCCACUUGUUUUCUUUUUCUGUCUUUUUUCCUCUCCCUGGGACACACCUGGCUGAAGGGACAAGGUGCUGCACUUCUGCAAGGCGCUCUCCCCUCACAGGCAUGCACUGCACCAUCUUCUCCAGCAAAGGCAUGUGUCAGGUGAGGAAGCAGUGAGUGUUCCAUCACAGCCUGCCACAUCAAGGCACUGUUGGCUUCUCUUACUGACCAGGGCUUCAUCAGAGCUACAGCACUGUUAGCUAGUGCUUGGGUAAGCCUCUGUCAGUAUCUGGCCUAGAAUUAGCAUUUUAAUAUAUCUUUCCCCUUUCAUUAUAACAGGAGCAGUCUGCUUUAUAAUCCACCAUUUCAAGGCAAUUUAAUAUUCAGUCUGUAUUUUGAAGAAGCAGGAGAAAUUCAGAAUGAGGAUUCAGAAUAAAAGAUUAAUUUCUUCACUUACGGCUGCAAGUCUCCUCUCCAUCUCCAGCAGUGCCUGCUCCAUUUGGCUUUUAUCUGUCAAAGCUUUCAGCACCAAGCUGGAGUGACUUUGAAGAGCAUCUUGCACUGAAUGGGGAAAUCAAUAACAUACACAUUUAGUCUUUCAUUUGUAAAUGUGAAUAAAGUACUAUCAAUA